CCUACGGGUGGCAGCAGUCGAUAAUCAUUCACAAUGGGGGAAACCCUGAUCGUGCGACGCCGCGUGGGGGAAUGAAGGUCUUCGGAUUGUAAACCCCUGUCAUGUGGGAGCAAAUUAAAAAGAUAGUACCACAAGAGGAAGAGACGGCUAACUCUGUGCCAGCAGCCGCGGUAAUACAGACGUCUCAAGCGUUGUUCGGAAUCACUGGGCGUAAAGGGUGCGUAGGCUGUUUCGUAAGUCGUGUGUGAAAGGCGCGGGCUCAACCCGCGGACGGCACAUGAUACUGCGAGACUAGAGUAAUGGAGGGGGAACCGGAAUUCUCGGUGUAGCAGUGAAAUGCGUAGAUAUCGAGAGGAACACUCGUGGCGAAGGCGGGUUGCUGGACAUUAACUGACGCUGAGGCACGAAGGUCAGGGGAGCGAAAGGGAUUAGAUACCCGUGUAGUC
rnacentral:rRNA from 1 species